rnacentral:rRNA from 1 species
GAUGAACGCUGGCGGCGUGCCUAAUACAUGCAAGUCGAGCGAACAGACGAGGAGCUUGCUCCUCUGACGUUAGCGGCGGACGGGUGAGUAACACGUGGAUAACCUACCUAUAAGACUGGGAUAACUUCGGGAAACCGGAGCUAAUACCGGAUAAUAUAUUGAACCGCAUGGUUCAAUAGUGAAAGACGGUUUUGCUGUCACUUAUAGAUGGAUCCGCGCCGCAUUAGCUAGUUGGUAAGGUAACGGCUUACCAAGGCAACGAUGCGUAGCCGACCUGAGAGGGUGAUCGCCCACAUGGAAACUGGGACGCGGCCAAGACUCCUAGGGGGGGCAGCAUGGGGGAAUCUCCCGAAAGGGGCGAAACCCUGACGGGCCACCGCCGCGUGGGUGAGGAGGGUCUCCGAUUCGAAAACCUCUUUUAUAGGGGAAAAAAAAAGGUGAAAGUAACUAUCCAGUUCUGGACGGUACCAAAUAAAAAAGCCCCGGCUAACUACG